AACGAACGCUGGCGGCAGGCCUAACACAUGCAAGUCGAGCGAGAUCUUCGGGUCUAGCGGCGGACGGGUGAGUAACGCGUGGGAAUAUGCCUCUUGGUACGGAAUAGCCUCGGGAAACUGGGAGUAAUACCGUAUGUGCCCUUUGGGGGAAAGAUUUAUCGCCAAGAGAUUAGCCCGCGUUGGAUUAGGUAGUUGGUGGGGUAAUGGCCUACCAAGCCGACGAUCCAUAGCUGGUUUGAGAGGAUGAUCAGCCACGCUGGGACUGAGACACGGCCCAGACUCCUACGGGAGGCAGCAGUGGGGAAUCUUAGACAAUGGGGGCAACCCUGAUCUAGCCAUGCCGCGUGAGUGAUGAAGGCCUUAGGGUUGUAAAGCUCUUUCAGCUGGGAAGAUAAUGACGGUACCAGCAGAAGAAGCCCCGGCUAACUCCGUG
rnacentral:rRNA from 1 species